ACGAACGCUGGCGGCGUGCUUAACACAUGCAAGUCGAACGGAAAGGCCCUGCUUUUGUGGGGUGCUCGAGUGGCGAACGGGUGAGUAACACGUGAGUAACCUGCCCUUGACUUUGGGAUAACUUCAUGAAACUGGGGCUAAUACCGGCUAGGAGCUCCUGCUGCAUGGUGGGGGUUGGAAAGUUUCGGCGUUUGGGGAUGGACUCGCGGCUUAUCAGCUUGUUGGUGGGGGAGUGGCUUACCAAGGCUUUGACGGGUAGCCGGCCUGAGCGGGGGACCGGCCACACUGGAACGGAGACACGGUCGAGACUCCUAAGGGAGGCAGCAGUAGGGAAUGUGCCGCAAUGGGCGGAAGCGUGACGGAGCAACGCCGCGUGAGUGAUGACGGUCUUCGGAUCGUAAAACUCUGUUAUUAGGGAAGAACAAAUGUGUAAGUAACUAUGCACGUCUUGACGGUACCUAAUCAGAAAGCCACGGCUAACUACGUG
rnacentral:rRNA from 1 species